rnacentral:rRNA from 1 species
AAGUGGAGCAAUCCAUGAGUAAAGUGGCGACCGGGUGAGUAACACGUGACUAACCUACCCUGGAGUGGGGAAUAACUGAGGGAAACCUUAGCUAAUGCCGCAUAACACCUACGGGUCAAAGGAGCAAUUCGCUUCAGGAGGGGGUCGCGGCCGAUUAGUUAGUUGGCGGGGUAACGGCCCACCAAGACGAUGAUCGGUAUCCGGCCUGAGAGGGCGCACGGACACACUGGAACUGAAACACGGUCCAGACUCCUACGGGAGGCAGCAGUGGGGAAUUUUGCGCAAUGGGGGAAACCCUGACGCAGCAACGCCGCGUGGAGGAUGAAGUCCUUCGGG